rnacentral:rRNA from 2 species
GGGCAGCCUAAAUGCAGUCGAGCGAAUCAAUAGGAGCUUGCUCCUGUUGGUUAGCGGCGGACGGGUGAGUAACACGUGGGCAACCUGCCUGUAAGACUGGGAUAACACCGGGAAACCGGUGCUAAUACCGGAUAAUCCUUUUCCUCUCAUGAGGAAAAGCUGAAAGUCGGUUUCGGCUGACACUUACAGAUGGGCCCGCGGCGCAUUAGCUAGUUGGUGAGGUAACGGCUCACCAAGGCGACGAUGCGUAGCCGACCUGAGAGGGUGAUCGGCCACACUGGGACUGAGACACGGCCCAGACUCCUACGGGAGGCAGCAGUAGGGAAUCUUCCACAAUGGACGAAAGUCUGAUGGAGCAACGCCGCGUGAGCGAUGAAGGCCUUCGGGUCGUAAAGCUCUGUUGUUAGGGAAGAACAAGUACCGGAGUAACUGCCGGUACCUUGACGGUACCUAACCAGAAAGCCACGGCUAACUACGUGCCAGCAGCCGCGGUAAUACGUAGGUGGCAAGCGUUGUCCGGAAUUAUUGGGCGUAAAGCGCGCGCAGGCGGUCCUUUAAGUCUGAUGUGAAAGCCCACGGCUCAACCGUGGAGGGUCAUUGGAAACUGGGGGACUUGAGUACAGAAGAGGAAAGCGGAAUUCCACGUGUAGCGGUGAAAUGCGUAGAGAUGUGGAGGAACACCAGUGGCGAAGGCGGCUUUCUGGUCUGUAACUGACGCUGAGGCGCGAAAGCGUGGGGAGCAAACAGGAUUAGAUACCCUGGUAGUCCACGCCGUAAACGAUGAGUGCUAAGUGUUAGGGGGUUUCCGCCCCUUAGUGCUGCAGCUAACGCAUUAAGCACUCCGCCUGGGGAGUACGGCCGCAAGGCUGAAACUCAAAGGAAUUGACGGGGGCCCGCACAAGCGGUGGAGCAUGUGGGUUUAAUUCGAAGCAACGCGAAGAACCUUACCAGGUCUUGACAUCCUCUGACACUCCUAGAGAUAGGACGUUCCCCUUCGGGGGACAGAGUGACAGGUGGUGC